AGAUUGAACGCUGGCGGCAUGCCUUACACAUGCAAGUCGAACGGCAGCACGGGAGCAAUCCUGGUGGCGAGUGGCGAACGGGUGAGUAAUACAUCGGAACGUGCCCAAUCGUGGGGGAUAACGCAGCGAAAGCUGUGCUAAUACCGCAUAAGAUCUACGGAUGAAAGCAGGGGAUCGCAAGACCUUGCGCGAAUGGAGCGGCCGAUGGCAGAUUAGGUAGUUGGUGAGGUAAGGCUCACCAAGCCUUCGAUCUGUAGCUGGUCUGAGAGGACGAUCAGCCACACUGGGACUGAGACACGGCCCAGACUCCGAGGGAGCAGCAGUAGGAAUCGUUGCGCAAGUGGCGAAAGCCGUGACGCAGCCAUCGCCGCGUAGAAUGA
rnacentral:rRNA from 1 species